rnacentral:misc_RNA from 1 species
UAAAUAACUUGGGAUGAAUCAGAAUGUAACACCAAGAACACCUCAUUCCAGCGUCAUGGAAUCCCUACAUAACCACCAUUUGCCAUUUUCUAUGCCCAAGUCCACAUAACUUCAAACAGAAUUGUGAUCUAUGAUUUUCAUUUCUUUGUAAUGGAGUCCACAAGAAGUCCAAACUAAAUACAAGUUGACUUAAGCGCAGUAAAUUUCAGUGUGUAUAUUCUAAAGUAAUCAUACAGUAAUAGUUUCUUGCAUGUGACUAUCAAAUCGAUUCUGGGUCAAUACUUGCCUUGCUCGGUCACUCCUAUAUUGAAGACGCUGGUGCAGGGUCUCAGACAAUUGGUCGAAGAAUUCAGCAUCCCAUCUGCGAAUCAACAAUGGGUCUUCCGCAUAGCAGAUAUAUAUGGAUGUAACAGCACUCUCAACCACAACCAUGGCUACUCCAACCUGGAGCAGAAGUAUCCCUCGUGUUAGUCACAUGCACACGCACAAAGUAUGGUUUUGGUUGGGAGGGACGUGCAAACAAGAAAAACAUGCUAUAAUGCAAUGAGAUACAAAUGCAAUUUGCAGCAUCAAAGCAUGGUUUGUGAUUCAGAUUACAAUCUCAUUCAUUGUUGAUGAGCAGUAUUUUCACAGAACUAUCACCCAAUUAUAUGGUCAAUAAAUGGCUGGCUUUGCUUGGACCUUUAGAGAAAUAUGAAACUGAAGCCAACUUUUAUUUAUUACAGCAACUGCAACCCAUCAGCAACAGCAGUUGAAGGAUCAUCAAAAACCUCUAUCAACAUAGAACAAGAUGCAACUUAUCCUGAAAGAGAAUUCUGAUAGAGCACAAUUAAUAUGCAGGGUCUCUCAUUCUGCUGAAAUUUUCUUAAAAAUGAACCAUAAACAUUUGCUUUAUAAACAAGAUGUAUACUUCAUUUUCUUUUCCAGGAUGAGUACUUGCCACUUGGUCAAAAGGUUAAUCUGUCUAAACUCUGCUGUUUACAUAAGACUGAAGGGCAAAGUGGCUAGUUGCUACAUUGAAACAUAAUUCCAAAAUCCAACUUUUAAACAACCAAGGAAACUGCAUAUCCUUUAAAUAAUGCGAUACUUGGAGCACAAGAACCAGCAAGAGAAACAUGGAACUUCCAAUUGACUAUGGGAUUACAAAGCAGUUAGCAAAAAUAUAAACACCAGGCAAGAAAGAAAACGUACCAAGACCAUUCCCAUCAACAUUGCAGUGGAUCCUAUCAUGAUUACUCUGUCACUCCACUUGAUAUAAGUCCAAACAGCUGAGCAUGUUCCCGUGAUUAGUCCACUCAAAAGUGUUCCCAUCAGCAGAACAGCACCUGAACAAUCAUAGGCCACAAGUGCUUCAACUCCAGUUGAUUGGAAUAAUUCCCAGGCAUCCCUUGCUGAAUGGUUAAAACUUUUGCCAUAAACAGCUAUCUGAAAGAACCGAUCAAACUAUGCUAUUGUUAUUUAAUUUUGCACAAAUUGGCCAUCACUAAUCCCAAUUCAACUAUUUCUUAGCAAAAAAUACAAAAUCAAAAUUAAGAAUUCAAAUUCCAAAGUGAAAACACUUCUACUGAACAGUGCACUACCAUCCACGGUGGAAAAAGUAGAAGCAUACUUCACCUUGAGAACCCGGCAUAAAAGACAAGUCCAAUGGAAAUCUUGUGAUACAUUGAAAAAAUCUAUUGAAUAAAAAUAUAAACCAGAUUCUCAAUAAAUGAUCAAAUGUUCGUUUUUUAGAGCAUAAUUGAAUUUGACAUAAUUGAUAUAUGAUGGUGAGACAAAAAGAAAAAAAUGGUUAACAGAAGUCAAGGGCAAGGAAAAAAGACAUACAUGUUUCAACAAAUCCCCACCCACCAACCCCACAAGUUAAAAAAAAAAUGAAGAAAACAGGAUGGAAUGUAUAUUCCGCUCAUUAGAUGCCCUAAAGGAUUAGAAGUACAUAUGUAAAUGGAGAAAUAUAUCAUGAGGCAAAUGCAUUGGAAACCCAGAAAAGUAGGACACGUUACAUUCAAAUUGGAAUCCCCAAUUGCACAAUACAUUGCCUCAGGAGUACUUCCAUAUGAUAAAUUAUGAACCACAUACUAAAAUUACAAGAGAAGGCCAUUCAAUAAUUCCCUUAUAUAUUUUUUAAUCUUCUGAAUCUUCUCUAACAUCAAUGCAUAAUACCAACUAGCCUCAAUUUCUUCAGGCCACUCUGCACUGUCAAGUCAGCUGAAAUUGUAGCAAAAUCCAAUAUUUCUUGAAGCAAUUUUUUCUUAUCCAAACUUUCUCAUUUUCGUAUUCCUUUCCAUCCAAACAUAACCCAUUUCCCAAAGCAUAUUAAUUACCAAUAUGAAAAAUAAAGGCCAUUGCCACUUCUGGAAAACAUUUUCACGUUCAUUGUCAUUCCCAAAACACAAACUUGCUCAUUUUCCUUCAGCACCUGAGACUGCAGGGAAUAUAAAAACUACACCAUUUUUUCUGUCUCCAGAUUUUUUGUUUUUCUUGUUGCAAAACUUGGAAGCUGGAACCUUAUCUGAAACUGAGUCAGCAAACUUGUUUUGUUUUCUACAACACACUCCCCAAGCAUUCAAGGUCCUAUUACUCAUAAUCUUCUUCUACCUUUCUUAAUUAAUCAAAACAUAUAUGCACAAGACUGAACACAUUUGCUAAUUCCCAUGGCCUUCCAACAUGAUCUCCAUAACACUUCAUUAUGCAAUGAAUCAACUUUUUUGUUCUAUAAAAAUGAUCCUCUUUUCAUCAUAGACCGCCAAGUCUAGAUAUAGGCACAUCACAUUUCUAAAUUUCAAUUUCCUACUCUACCCACUCAAUGACUUUCAAUAUCCCCAUUCCACUCAGUUAUACCAUCAAAUCUGUUACCAGGUUGCUUUAUGUUAAAAAAUAAACACCAAUGCACAAAAUUUAAAUUUCAAACAUGGCAUAUAUCACUUUCAAAGUGUUAUGGAAAGUCAAUCAAUAUA